AUUGAACGCUGGCGGAAUGCUUUACACAUGCAAGUCGAACGGCAGCACGGACUUCGGUCUGGUGGCGAGUGGCGAACGGGUGAGUAAUGUAUCGGAACGUGCCCAGUCGUGGGGGAUAACGUAGUGAAAAUUACGCUAAUACCGCAUACGAUCCAUGGCUGAAAGCGGGGGAUCGCAAGACCUCGCGCGAUUGGAGCGGCCGAUAUCAGAUUAGGUAGUUGGUGGGGUAAAGGCCCACCAAGCCAACGAUCUGUAGCUGGUCUGAGAGGACGACCAGCCACACUGGAACUGAGACACGGUCCAGACUCCUACGGGAGGCAGCAGUGGGGAAUUUUGGACAAUGGGCGAAAGCCUGAUCCAGCCAUUCCGCGUGCAGGAUGAAGGCCCUCGGGUUGUAAACUGCUUUUGUACAGAACGAAAAGGUUUCUACUAAUACUAGGAGCUCAUGACGGUACUGUAAGAAUAAGCACCGGCUAACUACGUGCCAGCAGCCGCCGUAA
rnacentral:rRNA from 1 species